rnacentral:piRNA from 1 species
UUGUAUUCAAUUUGUAGACGGGUGGGGA